AGGUCGGACAGCCGCGCAGCCAGGGCGAAAGGCCUGGCUGUGAGGAAAGUCCGGGCUCCACAGGGCAAGGAUAACGGGUAACGCCCGCCGGGGGUGACCCCAGGACAAGUGCAACAGAGAGAUACCGCCGCCCAUGGGCGGCAAGGGUGAAAAGGUGCGGUAAGAGCGCACCCGGCCCAUGGAAACAUGGGUUCUACGAUGUAAACUCUAUCCGGAGCAACGCCGUGGAGGGACAUAUGGCCUGCCCGGCCGUCCCAGGGAGGCGGCUUGAUCCCAGAAGCAAUUUUGGGGCUAGAUAGAUGGCUGUCAAGACAGAACCCGGCUUACAGACCCGGUCG
rnacentral:RNase_P_RNA from 1 species